UACGUAGGGGGCGAGCGUUGUUCGGAAUUAUUGGGCGUAAAGGGUGCGUAGGCGGUGCGGUAAGUCUGUUGUGAGAUCUCCGGGCUCAACUCGGAGUCUGCAUCAGAAACUGCCGUGCUGGAGUGUGGGAGAGGUGAGUGGAAUUCCCGGUGUAGCGGUGAAAUGCGUAGAGAUCGGGAGGAACACCUGCGGCGAAAGCGGCUCACUGGACCAUAACUGACGCUGAUGCACGAAAGCUAGGGGAGCAAACAGG
rnacentral:rRNA from 1 species